rnacentral:rRNA from 1 species
UACAGAGGUCUCAAGCGUUGUUCGGAUUCAUUGGGCGUAAAGGGCGCGUAGGCUGCGGGGCAAGUCGGGUGUGAAAUCUCAGAGCUCAACUCUGAAACUGCACUCGAUACUGCUUUGCUUGAGGACUGGAGAGGAGAUUGGAAUUCACGGUGUAGCAGUGAAAUGCGUAGAUAUCGUGAGGAAGACCAGUGGCGAAGGCGGAUCUCUGGACAGUUCCUGACGCUGAGGCGCGAAGGCCAGGGGGAGCAAACAGG